CCUUCUUACGAACAGAUCCACAACAUAUACAAAAGCGCGCCAAAAUGCAAAUCUGUAGUCUGUAGUUCAUAGGAGGCAGGAGCGACCUAUGGUCUUACUACAAUCAAUAGCGGCCUUUCUUGAAUUGAGCAGCAAAGUAAUCCACGUCCCUAAUGGCAUCUCCAAGUCUUGCGUCCCCCAUGGCUUCUCCAAGGAGUGGUCCGAGGAACCAGGAGGGUGACGAUCAAUCUCACACACCGAAAGUAAGAAACCUGACUCAGUUCUUGACGGUGAAUCUUUCAAUUAACUGCGUCAUGAUCUCGAGUGUUGGACGGGAAAAAGCAGCAUGAUGCACCCUUGUACAGCUUCUACAAAAACCGAUCAUAACCUGCAGAUGCCAAACAUCGUGGAGCAUAAGAUUGCAGUCUCUCUCCCCCUCCCCUCCCCUCCAAGCAUCAAAUCCAUGGCGCUGACGCUCCGGUCGACGACGUCCUUCCUCUCGCUCCCUCGACCCCUCCUCCAAGCUCCUCC
rnacentral:lncRNA from 1 species